UACGUAGGGGGCAAGCGUUAUCCGGAAUUAUUGGGCGUAAAGAGUGCGUAGGUGGUUACCUAAGCGCAGGGUUUAAGGCAAUGGCUCAACCAUUGUUCGCCUUGCGAACUGGGCUACUUGAGUGCAGGAGAGGAAAGCGGAAUUCCUAGUGUAGCGGUGAAAUGCGUAGAUAUUAGGAGGAACACCAGCGGCGAAGGCGGCUUUCUGGACUGUAACUGACACUGAGGCACGAAAGCGUGGGGAGCAAACAGG
rnacentral:rRNA from 1 species